UACAGAGGGUGCGAGCGUUGUCCGGAUUUACUGGGCGUAAAGAGCGCGCAGGCGGUCGAUCAAGUCGAGUGUGAAAGCCCCCGGCUCAACUGGGGAGGGUCAUUCGAUACUGAUCGACUCGAAGGCAGGAGAGGGUAGUGGAAUUCCCGGUGUAGUGGUGAAAUGCGUAGAUAUCGGGAGGAACACCAGUGGCGAAGGCGACUACCUGGCCUGUUCUUGACGCUGAGGCGCGAAAGCUAGGGGAGCAAACGGG
rnacentral:rRNA from 1 species